AGUUGUUAUUUCGCAUGGGGGUUUGCACUGUUGGCAGCGGGAGCACAAAAGCACAUGAGUCGCUGUCAUUCCGCGCAACGUUUGCGGACUAGAGGAAUCGAGUGAGUGUACUUGUUGCGAGCCAUACGGCGGCGGCAGCGUCCCGGAGCUGUCAAAUGUUGCGCACAGCCUUCAGUCAGUGGAGUAACCAGACUAAUCCAUCAGACAAACAACUCGGAAAGAUUAACCUUUUUUUUAGCCUCGCGAAAACUAGUUGAUGUGUCCACACCCGGAAGCCUGUUUUUAAAGUCAUUAUCAAUUUGUCACAUGGCUUUGGAGAAUUCAAUAACAACAAAAAAUGGCGACAAUCACGUUGCUCUGUGUGGUCUUGCUGCGUCAUUAAAAAUAUUCAUGUAAACACGGGGGAUCGGACGGGCAAAUUGCAGGCACAAACGGGGACCGUUCAACCUCGACGGUGUGUUUGUCCACUGCCCCGCUUUUCACGUCCGACACGGAACAUUUUUGGCCAGAGCCCCGAAGCAGCGGGGCUAAUGGAGUUGUUUACAUGAAGUGCGGAGGGCGGACUGACGACGGCGAGGAGGCGGAGCCUCGACGUCGACCAGAGACGCGACCGGACUGCUCGAGAGGGAAGAGGCUGCUCGCGCCGAGGAGGAGGAGGGGGGGCGGAGCCCGCGAGGAGAAUCAUAACAAGUCUGACGUCACUCGGCCUUGUGGUUGGUAUGAAUAAUAUACAGUAGUUUGUCUCGACCAGGUCCUAGAAGGAAAGGAAAGGUUAGGAAAAAACAAAAAAAACAAAAACAACUUUGUGCCUGUAAUUGUUUUAUGGAAUGAAACAUUAACGAGCCAACUGUGCAGGAGCAGGAUGGAAACAAAGAAAUAAUCAAAGAAUAGUUUCAUGGAAAGAGACAGAGCAAAACAUGCGCAAAAUACCGUAUCACUAUGAAGAAAGCACCCUGCUCACAUUUCACAUCUUGUUUGUAAUCACAGAUUCGCAUCCUGUAGGUCACUGAGUUCAAGUUACACACGCAGGGUUGUGCAUUAUUAACUGUCCACCCUUCAGGUUUCGUCAUAUAAUGAACAACAGAGUCAGUCUGCUGCAGAGCACAAUCAAACACUUUGGUUGUGGAGACAGUAAAAUCUUCAAAAGCACAUAUAGUAGCUAACUCCUAUAACUUCCGACACUUAAUGCUGACCCACUUUCACCCCAAUCUCAAAAACCCAGACUAUCUGAUUUCACCAAAUCUAGACCUUUCUUUGUCUGACACAAACAGUAGGAUGUAGUAUAAAGGAAACCUGGAGACCUUAAGAUAAGGCAUUAGGGCUUAUUUAACUUUCCCAGAGUUUGUCCAGUUCUCACAUCCUCUUUUAACAAAAUCUGUGUUUAUUUCUGUUCCCCAAAUCAAACUAUGAAAUAUGAUUUAUGUUUUGCACCUUUUUUUUCCCUGACAGCUUUUUUUUUUUUUUUUACUAGUGAUCGUUGUUAUGUUUUCAAUAUGUUAAAGGUUAAAUAAGCUGCAAAUAAAAUGCAAGAGGUACAUGUUGUUAUCUUUGACAACCUGUUGACCUAGAGCGCAGACAUUAUGGGUGGAUGACAAAUGGAGCGAAGCCCCCGGACUGCUAGAUUUGACAGGCUGCCCUGGUUCAGUUAUCACAGUGCUGAUGCUGUCCCCAUCGAAGGUACAGUACUGUGAUAACUGAAGGAUGGCUGCCAACUUGACACGAGUGCAGUGAAUCAAAGUCCAUUGAGUUUAACAAGAAAGAGAACCAAGAAGAAGAAGGAGGAAAAUGUUGUGGUAUGUUGAUUGAGAAACAUUUGUGGGUUGUGGCUUGCUGAAUGACAAAUUAUUCAAUUUGACUCUUAUUGUGUAGGAAACAUUGAAGAAACAUCAUUUUUAUUCUAAUAUUAUCUUCCCUUCUCAUGUAACAUCUGCUUAACUUUAUGAAAUAAAGUGAAUUUACUUUCA